UUUAGAAAGAUUUUAUGCUUUUUUUUCAUAUUCAAAUUGCCAAGUGAUUAUAUUAUAUAGUAUGAUGAAUACCAAGGUUCCAAAGUCCAAAACAUGAGUAAGCAGCCUUUUUCCGCAGAAAAAUGAGCGGAUUACAAAUGUCUUGCAAAAUUGCGGAAGUGCGAAGCACGGAGCAUUCGGUAUCUUAA
rnacentral:sRNA from 1 species